GACGAACGCUGGCGGCGUGCCUAAUACAUGCAAGUAGAACGCUGAAGGAGGAGCUUGCUUCUCUGGAUGAGUUGCGAACGGGUGAGUAACGCGUAGGUAACCUGCCUGGUAGCGGGGGAUAACUCUUGGAAACGAUAGCUAAUACCGCAUAAGAGUAGAUGUUGCAUGACAUUUGCUUAAAAGGUGCAAUUGCAUCACUACCAGAUGGUCCUGCGUUGUAUUAGCUAGUUGGUGGGGUAACGGCUCACCAAGGCGACGAUACAUAGCCGACCUGAGAGGGUGAUCGGCCACACUGGGACUGAGACACGGCCCAGACUCCUACGGGAGGCAGCAGUAGGGAAUCUUCGGCAAUGGACGGAAGUCUGACCGAGCAACGCCGCGUGAGUGAAGAAGGUUUUCGGAUCGUAAAGCUCUGUUGUAAGGGAAGAACGAGUGUGAGAGUGGAAAGUUCACACUGUGACGGUAGCUUACCAGAAAGGGACGGCUAACUACGUG
rnacentral:rRNA from 1 species